rnacentral:rRNA from 2 species
CCUACGGGGGGGCAGCAGUGGGGAAUAUUGCACAAUGGAGGAAACUCUGAUGCAGCGAUGCCGCGUGAGGGAAGAAGGUUUUAGGAUUGUAAACCUCUGUCUUUGGGGACGAAAAAUGACGGUACCCAAGGAGGAAGCUCCGGCUAACUACGUGCCAGCAGCCGCGGUAAUACGUAGGGAGCGAGCGUUGUCCGGAAUUACUGGGUGUAAAGGGAGCGUAGGCGGGAUCGCAAGUCAGAUGUGAAAACUAUGGGCUUAACCCAUAAACUGCAUUUGAAACUGUGGUUCUUGAGUGAAGUAGAGGUAAGCGGAAUUCCUAGUGUAGCGGUGAAAUGCGUAGAUAUUAGGAGGAACACCAGUGGCGAAGGCGGCUUACUGGGCUUUAACUGACGCUGAGGCACGAAAGCGUGGGGAGCAAACAGGAUUAGAUACCCGGGUAGUC